rnacentral:rRNA from 1 species
UGGGGAAUAUUGCGCAAUGGACGAAAGUCUGACGCAGCGACGCCGCGUGUGGGAGGAAGCCCUUCGGGGUGUAAACCACUGUCAGGAGGGAAGAACGUCGUCUGCUCGAACAGAGCAGGCGAGUGACGGUACCUCCAAAGGAAGCGCCGGCUAACUCCGUGCCAGCAGCCGCGGUAAGACGGAGGGCGCAAGCGUUGUUCGGAAUUACUGGGCGUAAAGCGCGGGCAGGCGGCCCGUUAAGUCUCCUGUGAAAACCCGGGGCUCAACUCCGGGAAUGCUGGAGAUACUGGCGGGCUAGAGACCAGUAGAGGCUAGCGGAAUUCCUGGUGUAGCGGUGGAAUGCGUAGAUAUCAGGAAGAACACCUGUGGCGAAGGCGGCUAGCUGGGCUGGAUCUGACGCUCAUCCGCGAAAGCGUGGGGAGCAAACA